rnacentral:rRNA from 1 species
UACUGCUAUCAGUGUUCGAUUAAGCCAUGCGAGUUAAAUGUUCUUCGUGAACAUGGCGUACUGCUCAGUAACACGUGGAUAACCUGCCCUAAGGUCCGGCAUAACCCCGGGAAACUGGGGAUAAUACCGGAUAAACCAUAGAUACUGGAAUGUUCUGUGGUUAAAAGUUCCGGCGCCUUAGGAUGGAUCUGCGGCCUAUCAGGUAGUAGUGGGUGUAAAGUACCUACUAGCCGACGACGGGUACGGGUUGUGAGAGCAAGAGCCCGGAGAUGGAUUCUGAGACAUUAAUCCAGGCCCUACGGGGCGCAGCAGGCGCGAAACCUUUACACUGCGGGAAACCGCGAUAAGGGGACACCGAGUGCCAGCAUACAAUGCUGGCUGUCCACAUGUGUAAGUAGCAUGUGAUAGCAAGGGCCGGGCAAGACCGGUGCCAGCCGCCGCGGUAACACCGGCGGCCCGAGUGGUAAUCACUAUUAUUGGGUCUAAAGGGUCCGUAGCCGGUUUAAUCAGUCUUCCGGGAAAUCUGACAGCUCAACUGUUAGGCUACCGGGGGAUACUGUUAGACUU